rnacentral:misc_RNA from 1 species
GCAAACUUGGUCAUUUAGAGGAAGUAAAAGUCGUAACAAGGUUUCCGUAGGUGAACCUGCGGAAGGAUCAUUACCGAGUUAGGGUCCUCAUGGGCUCGACCUCCAACCCUUUGUCUACCAAACCUCUUGUUGCUUCGGCGGGUCCGUCCUUUGGACCGCCGGAGGGCUUAUCCCCUCUGGCCAGUACCCGUCGAUAGCCCUACAACCCAAACCUCUUGUCAAAAAUUUGUCUAAACAGUUAUUGUUAAUAACGAAAAACUUUCAACAACGGAUCUCUUGGUUCUGGCAUCGAUGAAGAACGCAGC